UAAUUAGUGGCUUCAUUAUUUUAUUUGAAAUCCUGAAAAUUCUUAAGCCACCAGCUAUUUUCAUAAGCAAAUGAGAAUACCAAAGCAUUUAAAAAACCCAACUAGGAAAAUUAUUUUUAAUCAUUUGAAAUUUUGAGUUUAUUGUACCAAUAUAGCCCACAUUCAGUACAAAUAUUGCAACUGAUGCCACAUAUGGAAAAUAUAAUUUAUUCAUAAAUAUGUAUAAUUUCCGUUUGUUUUUCAUUCUCUGACUAUAGAUCUAUUUAUACGUUUGUCUUAGUUUGGGCUCUCCUAGAAGCAGAAUCAAAGGCAAGGAUUAGAAUGAUAGCAGUUUAUUUGGGAGGUAAGAAGUGGGCAAGUGGGAUAAGAAAGUGAGACAGGGAAGAUGAUUAGAAGUGGAUUAUCAACCCAGCUAUGACUAUGGCAACUGAAGUGAAUUUUCAUUGAGGAAGUUCUUGGAUCCAGGAUAAAACACCUGCCACAGAGUCAUCCUCCAUGAGAGGUGAAAGAGCCAGGAUAUUUACAUUCCUGUCAAUUAUUGGCACGAAUUUCAAACAACACAGAUACAG
rnacentral:lncRNA from 10 species